rnacentral:tRNA from 1 species
GUUCACAUAAGCCUAAUCGGUAAGGCACUUGCUUGGAAAGUAAGGAGUAGCCGGAGUGAUCCGGUGUGUUGGUUCGAGCCCAACUGUGAACGCCA